CACAAAAGGAGGGACAGCAACAGCCCUUUGCUCUCCAAGCGCUUCUCUGAGCUCAGCGGGGCCAAGGAAAGCCAAGCGGCCCCGUCACCACCGGGAGCACGCAGCGCAGGGCUCUUGUCCCCGAAGCCCCGGGCGUCGCUCACGAGCAGCCGCGCAGAGCCACUGCGGGGCUCUGGGGCCCCAGUGCCGGCACACGCCCCCGGAGACACAGGGCAGGAUCAGGGAGGGCUGACAAGGGCCGGCCCGGCAGGUUGGCAGCGCCCAGCCCCGCAUGGGCACACGGCUCGUGGGCGGGAGUUGUGGGCCCGGGCGUCCCGGGCCGGAACAGGGCGGUCAUGUCAGCCGCGACAGCCCCGGCGGUCCGCGGCAGGGAAACAAGGCUCUGAGGCGGUCCAGGAGGGCUUCCCGGCCCACCCGCUGCCGGAGCGGCCAGAGCCCCGCAGCGUGAGUCCCACGGGAGGGGAGGGCCCGCGGGCCCGGCCGCGCUGCCACGGGGACGCGCCGCGCACUCACCGCUGCCGCUACCACCGCCGCCGCCGCCGCCCUCAGCCCCGGCCCGAGACAAAGGCCCCGCGCGGCCGGCCGGGAUUUAUUGGCGAGAGGUCACCGCGCGGCCAAUCAGGAGCCGCGCUCGGCACGCGCCGGCCAUUGGUGAAGGCGGCGAGGGUCCCCCUCUGGAGGCGGCCGGCGCGCGCGGCUGCGCACACGCCGAAGCCGCCAAUUGGUGGAGGCGGCCGAGACGUCACUCUGACCACGCCCCCCGCUCACCUGGCCGGUGCCAGGAGGCCCCCCCCCCGGAGGGCCGGCCCGAGCGCAAAUCUGCGCAUGCGCAAGCGCCGCGCCCGGACGGGAGGAAACGGCGGCGGAGAAGGAAAGAGGGCGGCAGCGCUGCGGCACCGGCGGCUUUAUUGGCGGCGGCACCGGCGGCUUUAUUGGCGGCUGCAGCAACCGCACCCAGCGCAGCUGCCGCCCCACAGCCCCUGUAGGGCCGGAGGGACACACGGACAGCCAGCGCGGGGGGCUGAGGGCACCCGGCCUUGGGCUUCUUUAUGCUGCGGCCCCAGCCCGCGGGCUGAGGGAGGGAGCUCAGCGCCUCUGAACACAGAGAUCAGGAGCUUUUGUUGA
rnacentral:lncRNA from 1 species